rnacentral:tRNA from 1 species
GGGUGAUUAACUCAAAGGUAGAGUGUCUCGCUUACAACGAAAAGGUUAGCGGUUCAAGUCCGUUAUUACCCA